AGCAACAAAUGCCCUGCUUCCAGGAAAAGCCUCUAAGCAUCAGGUAACAUCAAAUCGUACCCCAAACCGACACAGGUGGUCAGGUAGAGAAUACCAAGGCGCUUGAGAGAACUCGGGUGAAGGAACUAGGCAAAAUGGUGCCGUAACUUCGGGAGAAGGCACGCUGACACGUAGGUGAAGUGAUUUACUCAUGGAGCUGAAGUCAGUCGAAGAUACCAGCUGGCUGCAACUGUUUAUUAAAAACACAGCACUGUGCAAACACGAAAGUGGACGUAUACGGUGUGACGCCUGCCCGGUGCCGGAAGGUUAAUUGAUGGGGUCAGCGCAAGCGAAGCUCCUGAUCGAAGCCCCGGUAAACGGCGGCCGUAACUAUAACGGUCCUAAGGUAGCGAAAUUCCUUGUCGGGUAAGUUCCGACCUGCACGAAUGGCGUAAUGAUGGCCAGGCUGUCUCCACCCGAGACUCAGUGAAAUUGAACUCGCUGUGAAGAUGCAGUGUACCCGCGGCAAGACGGAAAGACCCCGUGAACCUUUACUAUAGCUUGACACUGAACAUUGAGCCUUGAUGUGUAGGAUAGGUGGGAGGCUUUGAAGUGUGGACGCCAGUCUGCAUGGAGCCGACCUUGAAAUACCACCCUUUAAUGUUUGAUGUUCUAACGUGGACCCGUUACCCGGGUUGCGGACAGUGUCUGGUGGGUAGUUUGACUGGGGCGGUCUCCUCCUAAAGAGUAACGGAGGAGCACGAAGGUUGGCUAAUCCUGGUCGGACAUCAGGAGGUUAGUGCAAUGGCAUAAGCCAGCUUGACUGCGAGCGUGACGGCGCGAGCAGGUGCGAAAGCAGGUCAUAGUGAUCCGGUGGUUCUGAAUGGAAGGGCCAUCGCUCAACGGAUAAAAGGUACUCCGGGGAUAACAGGCUGAUACCGCCCAAGAGUUCAUAUCGACGGCGGUGUUUGGCACCUCGAUGUCGGCUCAUCACAUCCUGGGGCUGAAGUAGGUCCCAAGGGUAUGGCUGUUCGCCAUUUAAAGUGGUACGCGAGCUGGGUUUAGAACGUCGUGAGACAGUUCGGUCCCUAUCUGCCGUGGGCGCUGGAGAACUGAGGGGGGCUGCUCCUAGUACGAGAGGACCGGAGUGGACGCAUCACUGGUGUUCGGGUUGUCAUGCCAAUGGCACUGCCCGGUAGCUAAAUGCGGAAGAGAUAAGUGCUGAAAGCAUCUAAGCACGAAACUUGCCCCGAGAUGAGUUCUCCCUGAGACUUAGAGUCUCCUGAAGGAACGUUGAAGACGACGACGUUGAUAGGCCGGGUGUGUAAGCGCAGCGAUGCGUUGAGCUAACCGGUACUAAUGAACCGUGAGGCUUAACCUU
rnacentral:rRNA from 2 species